AGACCUAUCCCCGCCGUUCCCAUAUGUCCUGUGGGGUCUUCAUCCCAUAUGGACCUGACCCCACUGAGCCACUUGGGGUCCUGAUCCCAUAGAGACCCAUCCCUGCCGUUCCCUUUCAGCCUUGGGGUCCUGAUCCCAUAGGAUCCCAUCCCCACUGUGGAUGUUUUCCCUUUGGGGUCUCAAUCCCGUGGAGACCCACCCCCACCGUUCCCAUAUGUCCUGUGGGGUCUUCAUCCCAUAUGGACCUGACCCCAUUGAGCCCUUUGGGGUCCUGAUCCCAUGGAGACCCAUCCCCGCUGUUCCCAUAUGUCCUGUGGGGUCUUCAUCCCAUAUGGACCUGACCCCACUGAGCCACUUGGGGUCUCAAUCCCAUGGAGACCCAUCCCCGCUGUUCCCAUAUGUCCUGUGGGGUCUCAAUCCCAUAGAGACCCAUCCCUGUCAUCCCAUUUGCCCCAUGGGGUCCUGAUCUCAUAGGAUCCCAUCCCCACUGUGGAUGUUUUCCCUUUGGGGUCUCGAUCCCAUGGAGACCCAUCCCUGCCAUUCCCAUAUGUCCUGUGGGGUCUCAAUCCCAUAUGGACCUGACCCCAUUGAGCCCUUUGGGGUCCUGAUCCCAUAGAGACCCACCCCUGCCGUUCCCUUACAGCUUUGGGGUCCUGAUCCCAUAGGAUCCCAUCCCCACUGGGGUCGGUGCCCUUUGGGGUCUCAGUCCCAUGGGGUCCCCCCCCACCGUCCCCAUUCACCCCGUGGGCUCACAGGAUCCCAUCCCACUGCAGAUGUGAUGUGCGUCCUUUGGGGUCCUGGUCCCAGGACGUCCAUCCGUGUGUCCCCAAGGUGUCCGUGUGUCCCACAUGUCCCUGUCCCCAUGAUGCCCACGUGUCCCAUGUCAUCCUGUCCCAAGGUGUCCAUGUGUCCCACACAGCUUUGUCCCCAAGGUGUCCGUGUGUCCUCUGUGUCCCUGUCCCCAAGGUGUCCCUCUAUGGGUCCCACACUGCCUUGUCCCCAAGGUGUCCGUGUGUCCCAUGUGGUUUUGUCCCCAAGAUGUCCAUGUUUCCCACACAGCUUUGUCCCCAAGGUGUCCGUGUGUCCUCUGUGUCCCUGUCCCCAAGGUGUCCCUCUAUGGGUCCCAAUACUGCCUUGUCCCCAAGGUGUCUGUGUGUCCCUGUCCCCAGGACGUCCAUCCAUGUCCCCAAUGUGUCCCCAUCCCCGAGACGUCCGUCCGUGUGUCCCACAUGCUCCUGUCCCCAGGGUGUCCGUGUGUCCCACACAGCUUUGUCCCCAAGGUGUCCAUCCAUGUGCCCUACGUGUCCCAUGUCAUCCUGUCCCCAGGAUGCCAUCCAUGUGUCCCUGUGUCCCUGUCCCCAAGAUGUCCUUUUAUGGGUCCCACACUACCUUGUCCCCAAGGUGUCUGUGUGUCCCCGUCCCCAAGAUGCCCAUAGGUGUCCACACAGCUUUGUCCCCAGGAUGCCAUCCAGUGUCCCCCGUGUCCCUGUCCCCACGCUGUCCUUUUAUGGGUCCCAUGUGCUUUUGUCCCCAACAUGUCCGUGUGUCAGGAUGUCCGUCCGUGUGUCCCACACAGCUUUGUCCCCAAGCUGUCCAUCCCAGUACCCACAUGGUGGCCCCACGGUGCCCACGCCCAGGUAAUCAGACACAAAACCCCCCAAAACCCCCACAAACCCAUCAUCUCUGAGAAAACCUCUUUAAAUACAGCAGCACAGAAAAGGGCCGUGGGGGCAGCGGCGUCAGCACUGCGCCGCGUCCUCAAAGCUGGGGUUGGCGAAGGCUGCGCCCCACACCGCGCCGGCCUUGGUGCCCUCCGUGCCACCGGGUUUGGUGUCACCAACGUCAACUGUGGUGCCCUCUGUGCCAAACCUGGUGCCCCCCGUGCCAAAUCCAGUGCCCCCUGUGCCGGAUCUGGUGUCUUCAGUACCGGAUCUGGUGCCCUCCACGUCAUCUUUGAUGCCCUCCAUGCCAUCUUUGGUGCCCUCCACGCUGAGCGGUGCGGGACCUGCGGGCGCAGCGGGACGGGGUCACCCCCAGAUGGUGGGACGGGGGACCCUUGGGGUGGGGGGGGCGGGGGGGGGGUCCGGGGUCCGCACCCAUGUAGCUGAGCAGGACGGGCAGGAAGACGAGGCCGUGAGCGAGGCCCACCAGCGUGAUGAUGAAAUUGAGACGGAAGAAGAAGAUCUGGAUGAGCUGCGCUUUGGCGAAGGCCAAAACCACGACGCCCGGCAGGUUGGUCAUGGCCACCCCGGCCACCACCUGGCAUCGGGGACACGUGGGGUGAGGCGUGGGGCGAGGCGUGGGGCGAGGUUCGGGGUGACCCACGCGUCCCCGCGCCCCACACCUUGCUGCCCAUGUUGAUGGUGGCCUCGGCCGCGCGCUCCACGCGGGUGGG
rnacentral:lncRNA from 1 species